GGGGAAUAUUGCACAAUGGGCGCAAGCCUGAUGCAGCGACGCCGCGUGAGGGACGACGGCCUUCGGGUUGUAAACCUCUUUCAGCACAGACGAAGCGCGAGUGACGGUAUGUGCAGAAGAAGGACCGGCCAACUACGUGCCAGCAGCCGCGGUAAUACGUAGGGUCCGAGCGUUGUCCGGAAUUACUGGGCGUAAAGAGCUCGUAGGUGGUUUGUCGCGUUGUUCGUGAAAACUCACAGCUCAACUGUGGGCGUGCGGGCGAUACGGGCAGACUAGAGUACUGCAGGGGAGACUGGAAUUCCUGGUGUAGCGGUGGAAUGCGCAGAUAUCAGGAGGAACACCGGUAGCGAAGGCGGGUCUCUGGGCAGUAACUGACGCUGAGGAGCGAAAGCGUGGGGAGCGAAC
rnacentral:rRNA from 1 species